AGCCGGGUCCCGCGCAAUAAAGGCUCACGAACCCCGCCAGGUCCGGGAGGAAGCAACGGUAGUGAAUACCUUUAUGUGCCGCGGGGGUGCCUGGCUAUC
rnacentral:SRP_RNA from 1 species